GAUAAUGGAACAACAGCAGCAGCAGCAGCUGAUCCUGGGCCGGCUGCUGGAGUGAGACAACUGCUGGUGCAGUGUAAAUUUCUGAGCAAGAUGGGGCACGUGUACUCUCAGUACCUGGGUGACCCAGCAGUAACACCAGACCACACUAAAGGACCAACCUUCGACCCGUUAUAUGGGUACCCUGGAGGCAGGAAGGAGAGAGUAAUGAUAGCAACACUCGAAGAAAUGGAGUCUGCUCAGCUUCCUCUAAAUAAACGAGACUAUUGUGCUCAUCUGGCCAUUGAUCACCGGGCGUGCAGGCAGAGAGUCUGGCCAUUUACUUACAAGUGUGCACAUGAAAAACAUACAUAUCUUAACUGUGAAUAUGCGGAUUAUGUGUUGAGACUGAAAGAGCAUGAGCGUGAGCGCCGUCUUCUGGAGCGAGCCAAGAGGAAGGCAGAACGAGCUGCAAGAGAAGCACAUUGACCACUUGACUUAUGUGCUGAUUUCUGCUGCUUGCACAUACUGUGAGAGACUUGUUCUUUGUCUUUCCAGAAGAGUGAUGACAUCACAGUCUGAUUACUCCUCUGAUUGCAGCAUCCCCACCUCUCCAUAGUACAGGCAUUGCCUUUCUCACCUCCAGGGCUCAAGUACAGCAGCUGGUUUCCUUGAAUCUCUUCAUAAAUGUUACCCUGCUCACACUCCAGCAGCACACCCAUUAGUUAGUUUAUCUUGAUUAUGCAGCCCAUAAAUUCUUCAUCUCCAUUCUUCUCUCAUCUUAUUGAUAUUAGAUUAUGGUGACCAGCUGUAUUCUGCAGCCUUUCCUACAACUCUUUCUAAACUUGAUCCCAUUCAUCAUUGAGGGUGAGCUUGUCUAGGUGCUUUUUAUUCCUCCCAGCUUUGCAAGAUCAGUAUGAUGCCCAUUGUCUAUAUUAUUUUGUCUGCUCUCAUGACUUUACCUUUAUGAUUCUUCUGUAUAUAGGAUGAUAACAGAUGUUAGAAGUCCAGUGUUUGAUCACCGUCUCUUUUUACUAAAUCCCUUUUCUUCCCAUAUUCGCUCUUUUAUUCCCUUCAUUUACCCCCCUCUUUAUGUCCAUCCAGCAUCUAAAUUUUCUCUUCCUCUUGGGAAGUUCCAAAAUACAUGUCUCUUCUUUCCCACUUGUGUGCACAAAAGUUCAACUGCCUAAAAUUGCUUCUCACUGCCUUUAUCUUUAUCUUCCAGUCUCAUUCACAUGUCAUUGCAAUUUAAACCGGUGGUUCUAAUUCCUUUGAAGGUGUUGGGUUUGCAGCAGUUGGUUUUCCAGACAGAGUUAUACAAGGUUAUUUAUUCAAUUAUAUGACCCAUGCAUUCCAUUCUUAGACUGUUUUAUUGUAAUCUCUAGAGACCUUCACAACUGUUGGCAACAGUGAUGGUCUGAGUUAAUUCAUAAAAGUUACAUUCUAUCAAACCUUGCUUACGCUUUGGUCUUCUUAUCGCUGUUGUGUCUGGGAGACUAUGCUCUUCUGCCUUCAUAUUGGACACUCGCAUCUCUCUCAUGGGUAUCUCAUGCAGAAGCAUCCAGCGUCACUCUGUGAGACUUGUUGAGUUCCAUUUUCAGUCUGCCAUAUCCUGACAUACUGUCCUUUCUCCCAUCAACCACAAAAUUUACCUCCGGCGUCAUCACCACUCUUAACAUCCUUACUCUAUCUUCCCUCCUUUCUGACAGCUCCAGCUUUGACUUUUUGUCAGUAACAUUUUUAUUACACUGACUUUGAUUAUAUAACUCUGGCAUACUCUUCACUCUCGCCGGUCUUUGAUCAGGCACAUUACACCUUUAGCACAUCCGACCCUGCAGUGCUGUAUGACCCUGGUGGGUUUAAUGCUAGUUAUGAUUGUAAAAAUAAUAUAACCCAUGUAGGUUUAGCGCUUCAUAUGGGUCACCCUGCCUCGGUGGGAAGCGGCCAAUGUGCUGACAAAAAAAAAAUGAUUAUAAUGUAUUUCCUCUCCCAUGAGGACCCCUCUACCAUGUGGGGUCAUGUGACCCACACUGGUUCAAUAGAUUAUUGUGAUCAUAAUGUAAUAAUAACUUUGUUAUGAACA